rnacentral:rRNA from 1 species
AUUGAACGCUGGCGGCAUGCCUAACACAUGCAAGUCGAACGAGUGGCGGACGGGUGAGUAAUGUCUGGGAAACUGCCUGAUGGAGGGGGAUAACUACUGGAAACGGUAGCUAAUACCGCAUACCAUCGGAGGUGCCCAUAUGGGAUUAGCUAGUAGGUGGGGUAAAGGCUAACCUAGGCGACGAUCCCUAGCUGGUUUGAGAGGAUGACCAGGCACCCUGGAAAGGAGAAACGGUCCAGACUCCUACGGGAGGUAGCAGUGGGGAAUUUUGGACAAUGGGCGAAAGCCGGAUGCAGCCAUUCCGCGGGUAUGAAGAAGGCCUGCGGGUUGUAAAGUACUUUCAGCGGGGAGGCGUUACCCGCAGAAGAAGCACCGGCUAACUCCGUGCCAGCAGCCGCGGUAAUAC